GGAUCUCUCCAAAGCUGCUCUGAACUCCAAGACAAAACAGAUGUGCCAAUAGGUGCCCUGCGUCUGAUUAUAGUGCACCUAUCAAACGUGAUGAAUGCAACUGAGCAGAAAUUCACACACAGAAACAUCUUGCAUGAGAAUUAACUGUCAGUGAAAGAGACUGGCAACUAAACAGCAAGUGGCAUCUCAAUACAGCUUCAAAAUCCCCAAUGCAAUAGCAAAAUUGAAACAGUAGUCACGUCUAUGGGAGAUUCAAAAUCAGUUGGGGUCAUUCAAAUGAAACUGGAACAUGACAGUUGUAACCGCUGAGAAACAAAAUCAGAUGCAAACAAGAAUAGAAAGUACAAGGAUAUUAGUUAUCAUGAUUGUUAUUUACUAUUUGUAUUGUGCUAAUAGCUGAUAGAGUUGUGUCCUCGAAAGACAAUGAUUUCUUUACAUAUUUCUAAUCUGGAAGUCUCCCAAAAGCCCCCACUUACACUAAUCAUAAACUGACUUACUGCUAGAAGACUGCCAGAGGCUCAUACUUUUAGAUUGAAAGAAACAACAUGACCAUUUUCUAGGGCAGAGAGAAAAGAUACUGUCACAAAGUUAAAAGUCACAGAUGUUUGGACUGAGUGGAAGUGAUAGGAAAAGUUUCACUCAAAGUAAUGCAGUAUCUUCCUAUAACCGUACAGAGCUCAGUGGUUUGGGAACCAUUCAUACCUUUCUGAAACAGAUGCAAGGCAAUUCACAAGAACGUUUAUUUUCACAGGUGAGAACUUAGAAUUCAGCAAUUACAUUGAUUCUGGAGAUGGAAACAGCCAGUCUUUGGAGCCAGAAACGAAGAGUAGAGAACAAAAGAGGUUACUCAUCAGAACUGACUUGUGUUAGACAGAGACUGUUCCCAAAGGAGUGCUGCACUGGAUGCUAACAGUCUUCCUCUCUCCAAGCAAGCAGUUUCCCAUUGGUGAGGUCACAACAGGUGCCUCAAAACUUUUAAUAAGCACAGUAUGCACUAUCCUAUACAAAUGAAUUUUCCCUCUAAUUUUAGUCUACUGUUUCUACAAUUGAUGCACUACUGGAGCUGAAGGUGCAACUGAAUGGGAUGUAAAAAAGGUUUGCAAACACGAUUAAACAGCUGUCAAGCAAAGAAGGAUGCUAGAACUGAUACUGUACUAAGCUACAGCAGUGUGGUUUUAAUUAUACCAUUGUUUUAAUUUUUAAAGAUCAUUUAGCAAAAGACCAGUCAAAAAAAGAAUCACUAAGGAUUAGUUGCAGUGAACUUUUUCCAGGUAUGUUCAUUACAGCUUACCAGGUCUCUAAGCCAUUUCUGAAUCAGUUCCUUCUUUUAUCUUUAUUUAGCAUUUUGAGGACUAACAUUUCCAUGUUUGAUUUCCACUUAAGGUUCCAGUUGCUUGCUUCUUGCCCUCCUUCCAAAUUUGAGUAAUGAAGUAUUUCUCAACGAGGUAAUUAACAGAACAGCAAAACAGUUCUGCCCUAUUGAUUGUUCUGUUAAAACCUCAAAAUUCUGACCAGAGGUUUUCAGGAUAAAUUAUUUCACUAUGUAGUAUGAAUAAAUAAUCCUGUUGCAGAAAUCUAUGACUGGACAAGUGAAGCAAGAAGAGAUUAACCUGAAGCACUACUAAAGCGUAACAAAUUUUAAGCAGAACUUGUGGUUACAGGGCAAUAGUAGGAAACUGCCAAAUGCUAGGAAUAUGAGAAGCUGCAUUGCUCUGUAGGUUACUGUAUCUCUUUCCUCCCAGUUUCAUAGUAGUUGAAUUUCUCCAUUUGGUAAAUAAAAUUAAUAGCAUUUUCA